UUACUUCACAGAGGUUUAUCAAACAUUUAUAAAAGAAACCACCCAAAUUUUCUGUAAUUUGCGCUAGAUUUUUGUUGAUUUUCGUGCCUUUAUCGACAAUGGGGAGUGUGAAAGUUCAUGUAGAACAUUGUACCGCAUGAGGGUAUGGCGGCCGCUACCAGGACCUGCGAUACCAGAUUGUUGCAGCAGUCCCGGAGGCGGAGGUGACAGGAGCUGGUGGACGAUCAUCAUCGUUCGAGGUGACUGUCAAUGGGAAGGUGGUGUUCUCUAAGCUAAAGCAGCAUGGAUUCCCUCCAGCCAAACUUGUGAUUGAGGAGGUGAGGCGAGGGCUCCAAGGAGAGGAACCGCAUGAGAUCACAGAGUCAGAAAGUCCAGGAUGUAGCAUCUUGUAGAACUCUGAAGUACCCAGAGGUGGCGCUCUCAGAAUCAUGACUUGGCGACUCUGAGAUGCCACCCUAUGCAAUACACCAAACUACCCUCAUUUUUUGACCCGACACGUCCUUGCGCUAAAACAUGAUCCGCGUAUGAAAGCUUCAGUCUUAAAGUUCACAGGUCUGAGCUCGAUGUUUUGGUGACUCUUUUCGCCCAAGGACUUCGAAAGUCGAGAUGGGAAAAGUUUGGGUUAACAAUCAUAUAAAUACUGUAACCAUGGUUAAUCUUAAGGAACUGUUUUGACCGAGGUUGUGUCAGAAAUAUUACGAAAAUCAUGAAACUGACAUUUUGAGAGUUUUGACAAAAAGUAUUAAAUUAUAGGAACAGAUGAAACAUAUCUUAUCGGUAGUACAAUACAACUGAACUUCUGGCUUCUAUUCAGUCACUGAGGACUGAUUAUUGACAAUUUCGCUGAAUACUUCAUUCCUUUUUUGUCGUCGCUAUCUAAACUCUCAGGUAUUGUGUAAAAUACAGACAUACAAUAAAUUAUUCAUACAAAA